rnacentral:lncRNA from 1 species
CAUGGAUCUACAGUGAUUAUUUAUUAGCCUCAUUUUUGGAUACAUAUUAUUGUAGACAUUAUGUACCUUUUACAUUUUAAAUAAGAGGUUUUGUUUGUAAAGAUAGUGACCAACUUUUGUUUCAAUGCAUCAUAUUGUGUAUAUUGGACCUAUUAUGUACUUCCUAAUUUUGUCCAGUUACGGUGGGUUGUAUUCUUAAUGACACUGAAUUGCAAUU